GUGGGUGUGUGCCGGCCUCCGGCCCGGCCGGGCCCGGCUCCUUCCCUCGCGGGGUGGCAGCCCCGCGGCGGGAGCCGGUGCUGGCUCGCUCGUUAAAAGCCGUGAAGUUUGAAGUCAUGGCUGGAAAACCAAAACUUUACUACUUUGAUGGAAGAGGCAAGACGAAGUCAGUUUGUUGGUUGUUAGCUGCAGUUGGCGUUGAGUUUGAAAAAGAGUUUUUGGAAACCCAAGAACAGUAUGAGAAGCUCCUGUAAGGUGGAUGCCUGCUGUUUCAGCAAGUGCCCAUGGUGGUUGAUGGGGGUGAAGAUGGUGCAGACUAGAGCCGUCCUCAGCUACAUAGCAGCGAAGUACAACCUCUACAGGAAGGACGUGAGGGAGAGAGCCCUGUACUGUAACAGUAUUACUCUUCUUGAAUUUAUUAUAGUAGCUUAGAUACAUCUAGAAUUAAUUGUGUACUUGCACACCCAGAGAAUCACCUGUGUGCCUCAGUGACACAAUUUGCAGUGAGCAUGACAGGCCAGUUAGACACAAGCCAACUGAUUUGUUCCAAAUUAAUUAUUUUUACACAAAAAUAUUUGAGGCAGAGGUUUAUUGAGCUUUAGUAAAAGAUUAAUACACAUAUUCAAGAGGUGACUGGCAUGUAAAUGUUAAACUACUUCUGUAAACAGAAAACUUUCUGGAAAGCAAUGGUUAGUUUUUAACUUUUCGCUGCAAAAUAAGAUCUGCCAUUGAUGUUAUCUGUGAUUGCAUGGUGUUCCACAGCCCUGCAAAAAGUGCAUGGUUUAGAAGCUGGGGGAAGAACAACUAAAAGCUGUUGGAAAAUUUCUGGUUUCAUGUGAAAUUAAAUCCAAGUCUUAAUGUUGUGUCUGUGUCAAGGGGAAAAAAUGUGAUUGGGCUAUCUCAAUACAUAGCCUUUAAAUGUCCGUUUCCUAUAGUUUUUCAAAAGAAGGAAAACUAAUCGUCAGCUAGUGAAGUAUCUGACUUUAACGGUUACUUUACAAUAACCUGCUUUUAAAUGGUGCAAAUGAUUGGAAGAAUCGGUUGAAGCGGGUUCAAGGAAGAAAAAGUAUCAGCAUGCAUACUGGGAAUGAAUAAACAAGAUACAUUUGCAUUUACUGUAGCUAAAUUCCCUUUCCCUAAAUUCCCACUGAGGGGAGAAGCAGGAACUCAGAGGAGGAGGAGCUGAAGGACAUAGUGAAUAAUCAACCAUAUACCAUCUCCCAAUGUGGCACUGGCAUCCAAGAAAGUUAAUGUAACUUUGACGUCCAAUGGAAAUUUCGAAAUAGCAUAGUUGUAUAACUCAGCGUCCAGCUCUGACAUUGACCCAUGAAGUACCUAGCUAUAGGCAUCACUUCUAAUGCAGAACUGGGGACAAUUUUCUGGUUAUGCUGCAGGUUGCAAUUCAUUUAUGUUGCUUGCCCUACAACUACUACUAUUUCAGACCAAUUUCUACACUGCAGCAGAACCAUUGGAUCUCAGGCCUGGAAACAUCAUCCAAGAGAAGAUGGAAUGGAAACGUUAUCCUUUCUGGCAAGAGAAAAAUAUCUUCACCUCUUUCAGCCUUAAAUGCUAUAGCUUAGCACAUAUGAUCCCAACUGUGCUAGCAUACUUGGAUAAACAUUAGUUUAAGCAUAGAUCAUGCCCCUGCUUGCUUUUUCAAGCAAGGAAGUAACUACUUGAUUUAAUUCUUGCUAUUAUUCAGCAGAUAGUUUUGCUGUAGGAGAACUUUACUCAAGGGGUGAUCUAGCAGACAACUGUUUGUUCUGGAUUCCUCUGAAAACUUGCUUUGAACAAUUAUUUCUGAGAAAGUUUCUCUAAGAAGGGGUUGCACAGAGACAGCUUUGAAAUGAACAGCAUUAACUCUCACACUUUGCAGAGUAUCUCAUUCUAAGUUUAAGUUCUCACAAAGUAGGCACGCACAACAAAACAAUGGUGUAACAGGAGUAUCUUAACCUCAAUCAAACAAGCACAGUGUUUAUUUUUCUUGGGCCAUGUAGAAGAAUGAAGCUGGGUUAAUUAGCAUUGAUAAUAUACAACUGUGGGCUGGUUUCAGGGGUGGUGGGUUGGCCGAUGGAGAUAAGGUGCAGCUGUGGCUGGUUAAGUGAAGUGGUUGGGAGCCAAUGAAGAGGGAGCAGCUGAGGGAGAAGUAGAGAGAGGAAGAAUUAAGAGAAAAGAGAGUGUCCUCUGGAUGAGGCUAUAUGAGGAGAAGGCUGCAGAGGGGCUGGAUGGAGAGUGUGCUGGUAUGAGAUGGGGAAAGACCUUGUUGCUGCUUGAUAGUUUGGAGAGUGCUGUGACAGGGCCAUGGUACUUUCUUGCUAAUAGCAAUAGGCGCUAAUAUGAAGCAGUGCAGGGUUGAGGCUAGAGAACGUACAUCUCCAGGAUCCAGAGGUCAUCUUUGUCCUACAAAAGGGAUGGAGUUAGACUUCACUAGUUAUAUAGUGUCCUGGUUCCCCUUGAAGCAAGAGGGAUGCCUCUUCAAGCCAGACUACUGAAGACCAGUGUAUAGGUUUCAGUCCUAAAGACUGAUCUGUCUUUUCUGCUUUUUCCUGUGUAGAAGAUUAGGAGUCUCCACAUUCAGCAGUGAAACAUAGCCCCGUGAACGUUUUUCUAACAUGAAUGUAUUUACUGUAUUUUACUUAUUACAACUUCAUUAUCUUGUAUGUAAAGACUGUUCACUGUUUCAAUAUGGUUCUCAAGCACAUCAAAGCCUUCUUUUAAUAUUCCUGCUAUGGCAAAGGCAGUUCAGUUCUCUGUAUGCUUACAUUCAAUUUAACCUCCCACUGCGCAGACUGAUGAAAAGAGGCUUAUGUAUAAGUGAGAUGUUGCUUUUGUGGAGUGAGCACCGAGCCUAUAGUCUCUAGUGCUGCUAACGAGCUGGGCAAGAUGAACCAGAUUCCUAUUCCAUUAUCAAACUUGCACUGAAAACCUCUCCUUGAGAACAAGUGAACAAAAGCAAGUGAAGAUUCGUAUCUGACCCAGCGCACAUAUGACUAACCAUGUAUCUUUCCCUCCACUUCUAAUGUAUCUUAUACCAUACCUACUGUUUCUUCUGAUCAUUUUUUAUUUGUAGUUUUUAUGGAAAUGUAGCAGCUAGUGUACAUAUGCAAUUUAUAAAACUGUCCAGGGAUGCAGAAAUAAACCUGAAAUGUAGGUUUAGGUCAUUAAUAUCUCCAUCAACUCUGUACUGGAGCAAAACUGUAAAAUGUUUUUUAAUUCUUGUAAGCCUUUUUCCUCUUGAAUCAAGCUACUUACCCAUCUUUCAUGUCUGUCAAACUUCUGUGGGUGGAAGUCCAGCAACUGAUUGAAGCUAUCCUGAUGUAGAAGAGAAAGUGCCCUCCAUUCCCUCAGAGUUGCCUUUUCUGUAAGUAAUUAAAUGAAAUAGUAAUAUACCCAUAUUCAUUGGAAGUUUUGAGGAAGAAAACUUAAAAUGCGCUCUUACGCAAUGCAGAAGUAAUAAAGUGAGCGUAGGGAAACACAGCCAACAAAGUAAAAUACGAAAGGAAGAAAAUGAAAAAGCAAAGCUGAGAAAUGCAUGUGAGCAGUGAAUUACAGUUCAAUUUGUUAAAAAAAAUGUUAGAUAAAAUUAUUAGAUAUUUCUUAUGCGUGAAGUCAAAGUAGGAGAGACAGAGAAGGACUCGUACUUCAGUGAAAACAAAAGUGUUUUAUAAUAGAAGAAAUAAAACCUAUUUCUCCCUGUCUAAGAUGUAUAAAUAAGUCUGGUUUUAUUUAAAAAAGGACCAAAACAAACAAAAAAUGUUUUACAGAAUAAGAGAUUAUAUUAAAUUUAUUCAAGGGAUCAAUUUAAAUAUUUUUUAUUGCAAACCCCCCUUUUUUACUGGGAAAAAACCCCAAAUUGUUGUCUAGCUAUAUAGUUGGUCAACAGCAGAUAAAAAUAGGACUGCAAUAUCUGCUUUGCUUCUUUACAUUCUCUUUUGAAAAUAAAAGGAUUAUUUAAACCUAAGCUUAGAUUAUUAUUAGUUGUAGUUGUAACAACACACAAACUGAGAGUCCUAGAAAGUUUCACAGCACACACCAGAGACCAAAUAGGGGAAACAUACACAAGUUUCUAUCAAAAGAUGAAGUCAUUUUGAGUUAUUUAAGAAGAAUAUUUCACAAUGAAAUUUGUACUAAGUACAACUGUUUUCCAGUUGGCUUUGAAGCCUUGAUAUUGCCUGUCUUGCACCUAUAUAAAUCAUUCUUUUGACCGUGUUGAGAUAUUUAUAUUUAUAUCAAUAAUGACUAGACAAUCCAAAUAACGUUCUGUAAACAGACACUCCAUUUAAGCUCUCCCUGCCAGCAGCACAAUGGGUGUAAAUCAGAAUUAGGAUUACAGUGUUCAGACUUCUCUGUGCCAGUGGUGCAGGUAAGUGCCAAACAGCUCACAGAAAUACGUGCGAGGGUCAAUACAAGCUUGGUUAACUUUGUCCUUGGGUGUAAAGUAAACCAGUAAAGCUUCCAGGACAGAAACAGAGCAGUUGCUGAAGUUUUGCAGCAAGUCUAGGUUUGAGUGAUGCAUG